rnacentral:lncRNA from 1 species
CUGCUCAAUCAGGAUGUAAUUUUGAAUCCUUUCUUUCUCCAGAACACUCAAAAUGGCAGUUGUAACUAAACCUACAAGCAUACAGACCUCACAGUCAGAAGAGCAAUAACUCAUUAUGGAAUAAUGUCACAGAGCAUCUUGCAGCAAUUUUGUCACCAACAACUUUGUUACUUGAAACUAUGAGACAGACUGCUCUGAGCUGGAAAUAUCAAUAACAGGAAUUGCUGGAACAACAUAUGCCUGCUAUGUAUGCACAGUUUGUGCUGCUGGGGAGCCAUUCCUACCUCACAAGAAAAAACUAGAUUGGCAUUUUAUGGCAACGAUUUUGUCUACAGUAGUGUUUCUAAUAACAAACCAUGCAAACACAUAAGGGAUCCAUCUCUCUCGAUACUAUACUCAUUAUGAGACAGUGGUGCUCCAUUUCAGAUUUCUGACCUUUGCAAAGAUGAAAAUGCUGUCAGAAUGGUAAGGUUCUGUGACAGAUUGGAAAUCGUAUGGCUUGAGAGUGCAAUUGCAUUGUUGUG